GGGGAUUUAGCUCAGUGGCAUAAGCACCUGCCUUGCAAGCAGGCAUUGAGUUCGAUUCCUGGUACCCA
rnacentral:tRNA from 1 species